UACGUAGGUGGCAAGCGUUGUCCGGAAUUAUUGGGCGUAAAGCGCGCGCAGGCGGUCUCUUAAGUCUGAUGUGAAAGCCCACGGCUCAACCGUGGAGGGUCAUUGGAAACUGGGGGACUUGAGUACUGGAGAGGAGAGUGGAAUUCCAUGUGUAGCGGUGAAAUGCGUAGAUAUCGGAAGGAACACCAGUGGCGAAAGCGGCUUCCUGGUCCAGCACCGACGUCAGGCACGAAAGCGUGGGGAGCAAACAGG
rnacentral:rRNA from 1 species